AAACCCUUUGACUUUGGGGGUUUUUAAAUGCUUAUACCUUUUUAAUACAUGCUAGUAAAAUGCGCACAGGUGAGUAAAUCUGCCUAACAGAUAGCUACCAGGAAUAUGGAUCAAUUAAUUGAUCAAUUCCUAUGACGGUAAGAUUAUUCCACAUUUUUACUGAAACAAGGAAAAAUGAUUUGCAGCAGUAUAGAAUAUUGUACAAUUAACUUAUGUUAGAUACAGAAAGGUAUUUAGAACUGUCUAAUCAAGUGCCAGCAGACGCGGUUACACCUGAGGUUCUAGUUUUAUAAAUAAAAAAGGCUUAAAGAAUGUGUAAAAAAAGUAAACGAAAAAGGAAGAAUUAAUAUUUAGAGAUUAAAUUCAACAAGAUAAUUUAGAAUUUCACAUAAACCUUUUCAUUUUUGGAAACAUUAAAUAGUAGAAAGCCAAUGGGAUUAGAUACCCCAGUAACCUACUACCUAAAUAUAGAAUAGCUUAUAAAAAGCGUAAUUUCGCCUGAGUAUUAUAAUCAACUGAUCUAAAUUCAAAAAGUUUGGCUGUUCAUUUUCCAAUUAGAGGAUUGUGUCACUUAAUUUGAUAAUCCGCAAAAAACCUUACCUUAUUUUGAUUUUUCAGGUGUUGCAUGGCCGUCUUCAGUUUGUAUAUAUUAUAUAACAGACCCAACCUUUAUAGCUGAAGUCAGGUAUUAUGACCCUAAUAAUAAGGGGGAAGAUGCAAUACAUUUUCAAAUAAAAAUAAAAAUUUGAAGCCAAUUAAAUUUGAAAAUUUUAUGAAGUAGAAUUUAACAGUAAUCAAAGACCAUAAGGCUUUGGUGAAUAGGUUCAAAUGUUAGCACAAAUUGCCCGUCACCUUUUAUAACUAAUAUUAAUUAAUAGAAAUAAAAGCAAGUCGUAACAUAGUGAGGGAAAGGGAACUUUUCCUUGAAUUUAU